AAUGAACGCUGGCGGCGUGCUUUACACAUGCAAGUUGAGCGAGGCGGCCCGCAAGGGCCAGUCGAGCGGCGAACGGGUGAGUAACGCGUGGAUUAUCUGCCCUGAGGUGGGGAACAACCAGGGGAAACUCUGGCUAAUACCGCAUGAUACCGAGAGGUCAAAGGGGGCUCGCAAGGGCUCUCGCCACAGGAGGAGUCCGCGUUCGAUUAGCUAGUUGGUAGGGUAAUGGCCACCAAGGCGACGAUCGAUAGCCGGCCUGAGAGGGUGAUCGGCCACACUGGAACUGAGACACGGUCCAGACUCCUACGGGAGGCAGCAGUGGGGAAUUUUGCGCAAUGGGCUAACGCCUGACGCAGCAACGCCGCGUGGAGGAUGAAGGUCUUUGGAUUGUAAACUCCUGUCGGCAGGGAAAAAGCGACACGACCUAAUACGUCGAGGAGUUGA
rnacentral:rRNA from 1 species